CAAUAGCGUAUAUUAAAGUUGUUGCGGUUAAAAAGCUCGUAGUUGGAUCUGUGUCCCGCACCGCUGGUUCACCGCCUGUCGGUGUCAAACUGGCGUGUUUGCGGGACGUCCUGUCGGUGGUGGUCCGGUGCUUCGUUGGCCCUAAGGGUUAUCAUUACGAUGCCCCGAAGGCUGGCGAAUGUCUCCGGCCGCCUUGUCAAUCCCGCCGCGGUGCUCUUUACUGAGUGUCGAGGCGGGCCGGCACGUUUACUUUGAACAAAUUAGAGUGCUUCAAGCAGGCUCUUUUCUGCCUGCAUACUGUGUGCAUGGAAUAAUGGAAUAGGACCUCGGUUCUAUUUUGUUGGUUUUCGGAAUCUGAGGUAAUGAUCAAUGGGGACAGGCGGGGGCAUUCGUAUUGCGACGUUAGAGGUGAAAUUCUUGGAUCGUCGCAAGACGGACCGAAGCGAAAGCAUUUGCCAAGUAUGUUCUCGUCGAUCAAGAACGAAAGUUAGAGGUUCGAAGGCGAUCAGAUACCGCCCUAGUUCUAACCAUAAACUAUGCCUGCCAGCGAUCCGCCGGCGUUCCUCCGAUGACCCGGCGGGCAGCUUCCGGGAAACCAGAGCCUUUGGGUUCCGGGGGAAGUAUGGUUGCAAAGCUGAAACUUAAAGGAAUUGACGGAAGGGCACCACCAGGAGUGGAGCCUGCGGCUUAAUUUGACUCAACACGGGAAAACUCACCAGGCCCGGACACCGGAAGGAUUGACAGAUUGAGAGCUCUUUCUUGAUUCGGUGGGUGGUGGUGCAUGGCCGUUCUUAGUUGGUGGAGCGAUUUGUCUGGUUAAUUCCGAUAACGAACGAGACUCUAGCCUACUAACUAGACGUAUCCGGUAUCCACAAUCGUGCUACCGGCGAUCAAAUUGCUUCUUAGAGGGACAGGCGGCUAUAGCCGCACGAGACUGAGCAAUAACAGGUCUGUGAUGCCCUUAGAUGUCCUGGGCCGCACGCGCGCUACACUGAAGGAGUCAGCGUGUCUUCCCUGUCCGAAAGGACCGGGUAACCCGCUGAACCUCCUUCGUGCUAGGGAUUGGGGCUUGCAAUUGUUCCCCAUGAACGAGGAAUUCCCAGUAAGCGCGAGUCAUAAGCUCGCGUUGAUUACGUCCCUGCCCUUUGUACACACCGCCCGUCGCUACUACCGAUUGAAUGAUUUAGUGAGGUCUUCGGACUGGUGCGCGGAGGUGGCUUCUGUCACUUCCGAUGUUGUCGGAAAGAUGACCAAACUUGAUCAUUUAGAGGAAGUAAAAGUCGUAACAAGGU
rnacentral:rRNA from 1 species